rnacentral:rRNA from 1 species
UACAGAGGGUGCAAACGUUGUUCGGAAUCACUGGGCAUAAAGCGUACGUAGGCUGCGCCGUAAGUGUCGGAUGAAAUCCCACGGCUUACCCGUGGAACGGUCCGGCAUACUGCGGUGCUAGAGGAUGGUAGAGGAGAGCGGAACUCUUGGUGGAGCGGUGAAAUGCGUAGAUAUCAAGAGGAACACCGGUGGCGAAGGCGGCAUCCUGGACCGGUAUUGACGCUGAGGAGCGAAAGCUAGGGGAGCAAACGGG